rnacentral:rRNA from 1 species
CCUACGGGAGGCAGCAGUGGGGAAUAUUGCACAAUGGGGGAAACCCUGAUGCAGCGACGCCGCGUGAGUGAAGAAGUAUUUCGGUACGUAAAGCUCUAUCAGCAGGGAAGAAAAUGACGGUACCUGACUAAGAAGCCCCGGCUAACUACGUGCCAGCAGCCGCGGUAAUACGUAGGGGGCGAGCGUUAUCCGGAUUUACUGGGUGUAAAGGGAGUGUAGACGGCAACGCAAGUCUGGGGUGAAAUCCCAUGGCUUAACCAUGGAACUGCUUUGGAAACUGUGCAGCUAGAGUGCAGGAGAGGAAAGCGGAAUACCUAGUGUAGCGGUGAAAUGCGUGGAUAUUAGGAGGAACACCAGUGGCGAAGGCGGCUUACUGGACUGUAACUGACGUUGAGGCUCGAAAGCGUGGGGAGCAAACAGGAUUAGAUACCCUGGUAGUC